rnacentral:rRNA from 1 species
UAAGUUGGGGUAACGCGAAGAAACCUUACCGGGUCUUGACAUUUUUUGCCAGGCUGAGAGAUCAGCUUUUCCCUUCGGGGACAGAAUAACAGGUGGUGCAUGGUUGUCGUCAGCUCGUGUCGUGAGAUGUUGGGUUAAGUCCCGCAACGAGCGCAACCCUUAUGAUCAGUUGCCAGCAUUCAGUUGGGCACUCUGGUCAGACUGCCGGUGACAAACCGGAGGAAGGCGGGGAUGACGUCAAAUCAUCAUGCCCCUUAUGACCUGGGCUACACACGUGCUACAAUGGGUGGUACAACGAGCAGCGAGACCGCGAGGUCAAGCGAAUCUCUAAAAACCAUCCUCAGUUCGGAUUGCAGGCUGCAACUCGCCUGCAUGAAGCUGGAAUCGCUAGUAAUCGCGGAUCAGC